rnacentral:lncRNA from 1 species
CUUUGAGUCUUUGCCACAGUAGCUAUGUUGACCUUUUAAUAAUAGACUUGUCAUGUUGAACUUUGAUGCAUUUGUGAUGGUCACACUAGCCAUGUUGAACUUUGAUGCAUUUAUGCGGGACUUGUAAUAUCGAACUUGUGAUGUUCAAUAUUAAUGGAUUUUCGAUGGAUUGAUGAAAUAUGUGAGUGCUUGUGAUAUAUAAUGUAUGCUGGUGAUAUAUUCUGUUGCAAUGGAAUUCAAAAAAGCAAAUUUGGGAGA